rnacentral:rRNA from 1 species
UAGCGGAGGAAAAGAAACUAACUAGGAUUCCCUUAGUAACGGCGAGUGAACCGGGAUGAGCUCAAAUUUAAAAUCUGGCGUCUUUCAGGCGUCCGAGUUGUAAUCUAUAGAGGCGUUUUCCGCGCCGGACCGCGUCCAAGUCCCUUGGAAUAGGGUAUCAAAGAGGGUGACAAUCCCGUACUUGACGCGACAACCGGUGCUCUGUGAUACGUUCUCAACGAGUCGAGUUGUUUGGGAAUGCAGCUCUAAAUGGGUGGUAAAUUCCAUCUAAGGCUAAAUAUUGGCGAGAGACCGAUAGCGAACAAGUACCGUGAGGGAAAGAUGAAAAGCACUUUGGAAAGAGAGUUAAACAGCACGUGAAAUUGUUAAAAGGGAAACGAUUGAAGUCAGUCGUGUGGGAGGUAUUCAGCCGUCUCUGGCGGUGUAUUUGCCUCUCACGGGUCAACAUCAGUUUGAUCCGGUGGAAAAAGGCGGGAGGAAGGUGGCACCUUCGGGUGUGUUAUAGCCUCCUGUCAAAUGCAUCGGACCAGACUGAGGAACGCAGCUCGCAGCAAUGCCGGGGUUCGCCCACGUACGAGCUUAGGAUGUUGACAUAAUGGCUUUAAACGACCCGUCUUAAACCACGGAACCAA